rnacentral:rRNA from 1 species
AGACGUCUACAUUAGAUACCCGNGUAGUCCCAGCCGUAAACUAUGCGCGUUAGGUGUAUCGGUGACCACGAGUCACCGAGGUGCCGAAAGGGAAACCGUGAAACGUGCCGCCUGGGAAGUACGGUCGCAAGGCUAGAAACUUAAAGGAAUUGGCGGGGAGCACCACAACGGGUGGAGCCUGCGGUUUAAUUGGACUCAACGCCGGGAAGCUCACCGGAUAAGACAGCGGAAUGAUUGCCGGGCUGAAGACUCUGCAUGACUAGCUG